rnacentral:rRNA from 1 species
AUUGAACGCUGGCGGCAUGCCUUACACAUGCAAGUCGAACGGCAGCACGGGUGCUUGCACCUGGUGGCGAGUGGCGAACGGGUGAGUAAUACAUCGGAACAUGUCCUGUAGUGGGGGAUAGCCCGGCGAAAGCCGGAUUAAUACCGCAUACGAUCUACGGAUGAAAGCGGGGGACCUUCGGGCCUCGCGCUAUAGGGUUGGCCGAUGGCUGAUUAGCUAGUUGGUGGGGUAAAGGCCUACCAAGGCGACGAUCAGUAGCUGGUCUGAGAGGACGACCAGCCACCCUGGGACUGAGACACGGCCCAGACUCCUACGGGAGGCAGCAGUGGGGAAUUUUGGACAAUGGGCGAAAGCCUGUUCCAGCAAUGCCGCGUGUGUGAAGAAGGCCUUCGGGUUGUAAAGCACUUUUGUCCGGAAAGAAAUCCUUGGCCCUAAUACGGUCGGGGGAUGACGGUACCGGAAGAAUAAGCACCGGCUAACUACGUG